GAUGAACGCUGGCGGCGUGCCUAAUACAUGCAAGUCGAGCGAACGGACGAGAAGCUUGCUUCUCUGAUGUUAGCGGCGGACGGGUGAGUAACACGUGGAUAACCUACCUAUAAGACUGGGAUAACUUCGGGAAACCGGAGCUAAUACCGGCUAAUAUUUUGAACCGCAUGGUUCAAAAGUGAAAGACGGUCUUGCUGUCACUUAUAGAUGGAUCCGCGCUGCAUUAGCUAGUUGGUAAGGUAACGGCUUACCAAGGCAACGAUGCAUAGCCGACCUGAGAGGGUGAUCGGCCACACUGGAAUUGAGACACGGUCCAGACUCCUACGGGAGGCAGCAGUAGGGAAUCUUCCGCAAUGGGCGAAAGCCUGACGGAGCAACGCCGCGUGAGGGAUGAAGGUCUUCGGAUCGUAAAACUCUGUUAUUAGGGAAGAACAUAUGUGUAAGAAACUGUGCACAUCUUGACGGUACCUAAUCAGAAAGCCACGGCUAACUACGUG
rnacentral:rRNA from 1 species